CCCCUGCUUGCAGGGGUGCUCGAGUGGCGAACGGGUGAGUAACACGUGGGUGAUCUGCCUUGUACUCUGGGAUAAGCUUGGGAAACUGGGUCUAACACCGGAUAGGAACUGCCUUUAGUGUGGUGGUUGGAAAGUUUUUUCGGUGCAAGAUGAGCUCGCGGCCUAUCAGCUUGUUGGUGGGGUAAUGGCCUACCAAGGCGUCGACGGGUAGCCGGCCUGAGAGGGUGUACGGCCACAUUGGGACUGAGAUACGGCCCAGACUCCUACGGGAGGCAGCAGUGGGGAAUAUUGCACAAUGGGCGGAAGCCUGAUGCAGCGACGCCGCGUGGGGGAUGACGGCCUUCGGGUUGUAAACUCCUUUCGACAGGGACGAAGCGCAAGUGACGGUACCUGUAUAAGAAGCACCGGCUAACUACGUGCCAGCAGCCGCGGUAAUACGUAGGGUGCGAGCGUUGUCCGGAAUUACUGGGCGUAAAGAGCUCGUAGGUGGUUUGUCGCGUCGUCUGUGAAAUUCCGGGGCUUAACUCCGGGCGUGCAGGCGAUACGGGCAUAACUUGAGUGCUGUAGGGGAGACUGGAAUUCCUGGUGUAGCGGUGAAAUGCGCAGAUAUCAGGAGGAACACCGAUGGCGAAGGCAGGUCUCUGGGCAGUUACUGACGCUGAGGAGCGAAAGCAUGGGUAGCGAACAGGAUUAGAUACCCUGGUAGUCCAUGCCGUAAACGGUGGGCGCUAGGUGUAGGGGGCUUCCACGUCUUCUGUGCCGUAGCUAACGCAUUAAGCGCCCCGCCUGGGGAGUACGGCCGCAAGGCUAAAACUCAAAGGAAUUGACGGGGGCCCGCACAAGCGGCGGAGCAUGUGGAUUAAUUCGAUGCAACGCGAAGAACCUUACCUGGGCUUGACAUACACCAGAUCGCUGCAGAGAUGUAGUUUCCCUUGUGGUUGGUGUACAGGUGGUGCAUGGUUGUCGUCAGCUCGUGUCGUGAGAUGUUGGGUUAAGUCCCGCAACGAGCGCAACCCUUGUCUUAUGUUGCCAGCAUUUUGGUUGGGGACUCAUGAGAGACUGCCGGGGUUAAC
rnacentral:rRNA from 1 species